rnacentral:lncRNA from 1 species
CGACGCAGGGAACGACGGGAAAAACCCUUCUUCUUGCCUUAGCUCCUCAAACCACAAGCAAUUGAAUGAGUUUCUGGCCCUAAUUCGAAUGCAUGUCAGCGAAUUCUCAACUAUCUAAGAGUUCCCUACAUAGGGAAUCAUGUCAAAAUGGUUGAGAGCAUGGAAGGCUAACGGGCUAAGAAGACUCAAGUAAAACAAACGCAAAUACGGACGCACAAGGUAAGUGAAUCCCGGACUUACACUUUAGAUGUAAAAUGUAUUGUAGUAUGAUGAUUAUUGUGAAACGUGUGAGAAAGUAUGAGACAAUGGAAGUAAUAAGGUAAGUUUACGGUAAAUGAGUCGAAAGUAGUUGAGAAAUAGUUUCUAUUAAGUAUAGGUAAGAAGGAUCUUACGUAAUGAUAUUAUGCAUGAAGAUGAAAUACCCAAUUUUAGCAAUCCAAGAAAAUAAAGUUUGUAGGUAUGGGUAUAAUUGUAAGUAAGCAAUUGGAACUCAUAGGAGAGUAUGACUAUGAACACGUAAGUGCGGAUAAUUAUGUGUAUACAAUUUACAUGUAUAGAUGGGUGUGUUUAGGAUUUACAAGUAAUAUGUGUAGAAUGUAAAUUUGUAAGUUCAUAUGAGCUUUGUUUAUCUUAAAUGUAAUUUUACGAAUAGUGGUACUAUGGAUUGUUGUAAAUGUUCAUAACGGGUCAAAGGAUGUAAAUAUAUUGAAAAGCAUGUUAUGUAGCGAUUCAUUACGAAUGGGUCGAAAGGUGAUAAGUUGGAUGUUUCAAAUGGAAGUAAAGAUGCUAAUAAGGUAACAUGUUAUGUUAACGGGUCGAACAAUGAUAGGUAAUUUAAAGGAUUUUAAAUUACUAUGUAUUAUGAACUAAAUAAUGUUGUUGUUAUGAAUGUUAGGUAAAUCUAUUGCUUGAUGCGGCGCACCCGGACCGAGCACACACGACGUUGACCUUAAUACGCUUCCGGCUCAAGUUGUUUCUUUUUAAUGGGUCGAAACGUCCUUUUGUGUAGUAAAUGUUAAACUUUAUUUUGAAUAGUUUGGAUUUAAUAUUCUAGGUAAAUUGUGCAUGGUUUUUAAUUUAGCAUCGUUUGAAUAGU